GCCAUGAUUGUGAGGCUUCCCCAGCCAUGUGGAAACAUAUUCGCAGAGCACCCACUAGGUGCCAGUAAAUGUAUGAGAAGUCCUGUGGAAUAAGACUGAAGUUGUCCUUGCCUUCAAGCAACUUGCAAUUGCCUAAGAACACAGUUUAAAACCACAAAACUAAGCCUUGGAAAUCACAUGCUGUCAUUUCUGCGAUCGGUCAUAACCAGUCCUGAUUCCAUGUUAGAGGAGACUACAUAAGGACACAGGUACCAGAAGAUGAAAAAUUUGGAGUCUAGUGAAAAGAAGUGACUUGCUCAAAAUCACACAGCACAUGAAGAACAGAGCCUCUAUGAUGAAUUUCUUGACAGCUGAUAUAAGUCUUUUGAGGUACAGCCUGGCACAAAAAGGAUGAGAUUUGUGGGCAGAAUUUUGGAAGAAUAUCUCCCGAGAGAACAUUCAGGACAGAGCCCUACAUCUCCCCGAGAAGAGGUGAAAGAGACUGCUCCUAUCUGCUUCUGCAUCAAACUUCAGGCUCAAGACCUGUCCAGAAAAAAAAAUGUCUUCUUUCAGGGAUGAACUGCUGUCCUCAUCAGACGCCUUAUUUUGUUUAGAAUUCAAGCUCACUUGACAGGUUAUUGUGAAGAUUAAAUGAAUUAAUACAUGUGAAGCAACUGUAACAACUCUUGACAUGCGUGGGCUGGACUUCCAGAAGAAACGUUGUCAGAACUCUGCCCAACUGAAAACAAGCCUACUAAAAAUAAAUAAAUAAAUAAAAUUUUAAAAAA
rnacentral:lncRNA from 1 species